AGAGCUUGCUCUCGGGUGACGAGCGGCCCACGGGUGAGUAAUGUCUGGGAAACUGCCUGAUGGAGGGGGAUACUACUGGAAACGGUAGCUAAUACCGCAUAACGUCGCAAGACCAAAGAGGGGGACCUUCGGGCCUCUUGCCAUCAGAUGUGCCCAGAUGGGAUUAGCUAGUAGGUGGGGUAACGGCUCACCUAGGCGACGAUCCCUAGCUGGUCUGAGAGGAUGACCAGCCACACUGGAACUGAGACACGGUCCAGACUCCUACGGGAGGCAGCAGUGGGGAAUAUUGCACAAUGGGCGCAAGCCUGAUGCAGCCAUGCCGCGUGUAUGAAGAAGGCCUUCGGGUUGUAAAGUACUUUCAGCGGGGAGGAAGGCGAUAAGGUUAAUAACCUUGUCGAUUGACGUUACCCGCAGAAGAAGCACCGGCUAACUCCGUGCCAGCAGCCGCGGUAAUACGGAGGGUGCAAGCGUUAAUCGGAAUUACUGGGCGUAAAGCGCACGCAGGCGGUCUGUCAAGUCGGAUGUGAAAUCCCCGGGCUCAACCUGGGAACUGCAUUCGAAACUGGCAGGCUAGAGUCUUGUAGAGGGGGGU
rnacentral:rRNA from 1 species